AGCAACAGCGUCUGCCCUGUUCCAGCAGGGGGCAGCAGCGCCCGGGUCAGAGAUGGCAUGGUGCCUGCUUGGGGCAGCUCACAGCCCGCCCAGGAACCUGCCCAGCUUGGCCCACCUGGCUGAGCCCAGGAGAUCUGCAAGGGGGGAAAGAUAUGAGAGCAUCAGGCGCUUGGCUAGGAGAAGGGAGCGUAAGGGAGGGAAGUAGAUGGAGGCUUUGGCCUCCUGGCCACCCCCCCAACUAAGGCUGUGGGGAGGAACCAAGAGUCUGGAGGUGAAUGUGAGGAUGGAGAAAUUCUGCAGAAAAGCCCAAUACCACCGGCUCUGGGAACACCUAGAGGUGUCCGAGCAGGGCAGGGUCUCCUUCGCCACACAGACAAAGAGGGGUGCAGCACCCAAGGGUUUGAGCAAGCUCGCAGAAAAGGGCAGGAUGAGCCACCCCUGCUGGCAUGAAGGGACCUGCCCUACGUGGCCCACCUCAUCCAGGUCCUGGGCUCUCUUGGUCACAGCCAAGCUGCCCAGCCUCUUGUCUUCCUAUUGGGGAAGGCUGGGUCUUAGAGGUUGCUCCAGCUCCCAGGAUGAUGAGGGAUCUGGGGGCUGUGGCCAUGGAGGGGCCCUUCCCUCCUUCCGUGAGAACCAGGCUGACCUAUUCCGCCAGGGAUGAAGGCCCAUCUGCUUCCCAGCCCUGCCAACCUUUUCAGAGGAAGGAGGGAGUGCCUUUUCUUCUGCAGCUGGCCCAGGGAAGAGGAGGGGCAGGCUCCAGGUAUCUUGAGAUUUGGGGUCCCUCUUUCCAAGAUGCUGGCAGCUACAGAGGCAAUGAGACAAGGCACCUCUGCCCAGGCUCGCCCUUACUGAAGAGAUCCUGAGACCAAGAUCUUCUGUCAACGGGAAGGUGGACAGUUUGAGGGCUGGCGGAACCAAAGAGCCUCUGUUAUGAGAACAAAAGUCCCUUUGUCUUGGAAUGCCAUUUCCAGAGGUUCCAGAGUCACAGACUUGCACCACGAAUGGCUCCAUCCCUUCUUUUUACAGGUGGGGACACGGGGCCCAAGGGGGAAGUCACCUGCCCUAGCCUCCCUGUGUGCCAAGGACAGGAUGGAGACCCAAAUGCAGAAUCCAGGACCCCUGCCUCCCUGACCUGGUGCCUUUUCACCAGCUCAGUGAGGUCUUGGCAGUCUUAUAAAAGAAGCCACUCCUCUAAAUCUCAUUAUGUGUAUGAGGAAAUGGUUAAGACCAGCACAGGACUGGCCUAUAUAAACGCAAAGCCAAGGAUAGAGAGAUAUGGGGUUCCGAGGGACAAAUUAGAAAAGAGGGCCACUGGAGUAAGAAGGAGUGGGGUAAAAGACGGGGGUUGGUGGCAAGAGGGCCACUCACGGUCAGGCAGGGUGGAGCGUUCCACCACGGAACCGAAGGGCCCGUCCAUGUCCACACCGUGAGACUGUACCGCAAACUCGUAUUUGGUGAAUGGCUUCAGCCCACCAAUGAGGAUGUCUUCUCCAGAGCUGUGGAGGUGAGAAACGUGACUAGCACACCCUCCUAGCGGGGCAGGCCUGUCCAAAUCCACUCACCCACCCCAGCCCAGCCCAGCCCCAGCCCCUACCCUGGGUGGGGAAUCUACUCACUGGCCUGGAGGCCACUGACACCACCCAAGAGUCCUACAGAGAAGUCUGGAUGCAUGCUGCUCCCAGGGCAGUCUGUCCAAUCUGCAGACUAGGCCCUCUGCUCCAGGAAACCUUCCUGGAUUAAUCCAAGUCAUCGUCCACCUGAGGAUCCAUCUCUGAUGCAUCUUUUCCUUGACUUAGUGUACUUUGGCUGCAGUUGUACAUAUCUACCAUGUUUCUCUAUUUUAUUCUGUUUUAUUUGCUUUA